rnacentral:rRNA from 1 species
UACGUAGGUGGCAAGCGUUGUUCGGAAUUAUUGGGCGUAAAGGGCGCGUAGGCGGCAUGUUAAGUCGGCUGUGAAAGCCUGGGGCUCAACCCCAGAGGGUCGGCCGAUACUGGCAAGCUAGAGUACGGAAGAGGGAUGUGGAAUUCCAGGUGUAGCGGUGAAAUGCGUAGAUAUCUGGAGGAACACCGGUGGCGAAGGCGGCAUCCUGGACCGGUAUUGACGCUGAGGCGCGAAAGCUAGGGGAGCAAACGGG